GCAUUGGUAGUUCAAUGGUAGAUUUCUCGCCUGCCAUGCGAAUAACCUUGGUUUAAUUCCUGCCCAAUGCA
rnacentral:tRNA from 1 species